rnacentral:lncRNA from 13 species
CCCAGCACCCAACAGUGGGACCGGCACCGGCACCCAGCACCCAACGGAGGAACCGGCACCCAGCACCAAACAACGGAACCGGCACCGGCACCCAGCACCAAACAACGGAACCGGCACCGGCACCCAGCACCAAACAACGGAACCGGCACUGGCACCCAGCACCAAACAACGGAACCGGCACUGGCACCCAGCGCCCAACAGAGGAACCAUGACCGGGACCCAGCACCCAACAGUGGCACUGGGACUGGCACCAGAACUGGCACCGGGACCCAACACCAGAACCGGGACUCAACACUGAAACUGGCACCCAGCACCCAACAGUGGCACUGGGACCGGCACUGGAACCGGCACUGGGACCAGCACCCAGCACUGGGACCGGCACCCAGCACCCAACAAGGGCACCAGAACUGGGACCCAGCACCGGUACUGGGACCAGCACUCAGCGCCCAGAACUGAAACCAGCACCAGGACCCAAUACCGGCACUGGAACCGGCAUCCAGAACCUGAACCAGCACCCAGCACCCAACACUGGAACCAGGACCCAGCACCGGCACCAGGACCCAAUAUCGGCACCGGAACCGGAACUGGCACCCAGCACCUAACAAUGGCACCCAGAACUGGAACCGACACCCAGAACCGGAACCGGCACCAAGGCCUGGCACCCAACACUGGUAUAAGGAGCACAACCGGCACCCAGCACCCAACAACAGCACCAGGACUGGCAUCGGAACCAGCACUGAGACCCAGCACCCAACACCAACACCGGAACCAGCACCGGGACUGGCACCCAGCACUGGAACCAGAACUGGCACCCAACACCCAACACCAGAACCAGCACUGGGACCGGCACCCAGCACUGGAACCAGAACCGGCACCCAGCACCGGUAGGACCGGAACCAGCACCGGGACCCAGCACCCAACACCGGGCACCCAACAAUGGCACCAGAACUGGGACCGGGACCCAAAACCGGAACUGGGACCCAGAACCCAACACUCAGCACCCAACACCAACACCGGAACCAGCACCGGGACCAGGGCCCAGCACUGGGACCAGAACCGACACCCAGCACCCAACACCCGGCACCCAACAAUGGCACCAGAACUGGGACCAGGACCCAAAACCGGCACUGGGACCCAGCACCCAACAGCAACACUGGAACCAUCACCGGGACUUGGGCCCAGCGCUGGGACCAGAACCAGCACCCAGCACCGGUAUUGGGACUGGAACCAGGACCGAGAACUGGGACCAGCACCCAGAACCCAGUGCCCAAUACUGGAAACGGGACCAGGACCCAGCACCCAACACCCAACGAUGGCACCAGAACUGGGACCGGGACCCAAAAUCAGCACUGGGGCCCAGAACCCAACACUCAGCACCCAACACCAACACCGGAACUGGGACCGGGGCCCAGCACCAGGACCAGAACCGGCACCCAACACUGGUAUUGGAACCAGGACCCAGAACCAGCACCCAGCACCCAGUGCCCAGUACGGGAAGUGGGACCAGGACCCAGCACCCAACACCGGAACCAGCACCGAGACUGGGACCCAGCACCGGCACCCAGCACCCAACACUAGUAUGGGACCAGAAGCAGGACCCGGAACUGGGACCAGCACCCAGCACCUGGUGCCCAAUACCAGAACCGGCACCGGGACCCAGAACCCAACACUCAGCACCCAACACCAAUCCCAGAACCAGCACUGGGACUGGGACCCAGAACCAGGACCCGGGACCAGAACCAGGACCCAGGAUCGGCACCAGGACCCAGAACCCAACACCCAACACCAAUCCCAGAACCAGCACUGGGACUGGGACCCAGAACCAGGACCCGGGACCAGAACCAGGACCCAGAAUCGGCACCAGGACCCAGAACCCAACACCCAACACCAAUCCCAGAACCAGGACCCGGGACUGGGACCCAGAACCAGGACCCAGGACCAGAACCACGACCCGGGACUGGAACCAGGACCCAGAACCAGCACUGGGGACCCAGCACCCAACACGAACCCCAGAACCAGCACCGGGACUGGGGCCCAGCACCCAGAACCAGUAUCAGAACCGGGACCGGGACCCAGUACCCAACACCAACACCGGAACCCGGCACCCAGAACUGGCACCAGCACCGGGACCAGUCCGGAUGCUCCUAGUGCCGCUGGAAUUCCCGCUCCCCUCCAAACCCCAAAUCCCAGAUCCCGCGAAGUGAUGCCACGAUCCCAAAGCGCCUCUGCCGGGUGGGAACGGGACACAGGAAUGCCGCGGGAAUUUUGGGAAUGGGGCCAGCGGUGACCUGGGACUCACCUGGGGAAUG